rnacentral:rRNA from 1 species
GACGAACGCUGGCGGCGUGCUUAACACAUGCAAGUCGAACGGUAAGGCCCUUCGGGGUACACGAGUGGCGAACGGGUGAGUAACACGUGGGUGAUCUGCCCUGCACUUCGGGAUAAGCCUGGGAAACUGGGUCUAAUACCGGAUAGGACUCCUGGCUUCAUGGUUGGGGGUGGAAAGCUUUUGCGGUGUGGGAUGGGCCCGCGGCCUAUCAGCUUGUUGGUGGGGUAAUGGCCUACCAAGGCGACGACGGGUAGCCGGCCUGAGAGGGUGACCGGUCACACUGGGACUGAGAUACGGCCCGGACUCCUACGGGAGGCAGCAGUGGGGAAUAUUGCACAAUGGGCGCAAGCCUGAUGCAGCGACGCCGCGUGAGGGAUGACGGCCUUCGGGUUGUAAACCUCUUUCAGCAUCGACGAAGCGAAAGUGACGGUAGGUGCAGAAGAAGGACCGGCCAACUACGUGCCAGCCGCCGCCGUAA